GAGUUCCCGUUGUGGCUUAGGGGUAGCGAACCCAACGAGUAUCCAUGAGGAUGUGGGUUUGAUCCCUGACCUCGCUCAGUGUGUUAAGGAUCCAGCAUUGCUGUGAGCUUCAGUGUAGGCUGCAGAGGUGACUUGGAUCCUCUGUUGCUGUGGCUGUGGUGUAGACCUGCAGCUUGCAGCUCUGAUUCGAUGUUGGCCUGGGAACUUCCAUAGGCCAUAGAUGUGGCCCUAAAAAGCAAAAAAAAUAAAUAGGUAAAAUAAAAGUAAAAAAUAAAGUGGUAUUUGAAUCUGAACCCAGACCUGCCUUAAAUACAAAGCCUACAGUCAUUAUAACUACAUAGGUGCAUGUGUGAUGGAAUAUAAUUUGCAAAAUACAAUAAUUUGAAUCUCAUUGGUACUGUUGUCCCCAAAGGAUUCUGUUGGUCAUAAGGUGAUUGAUACUAUUUACAUUCUCUCUCAAAAUCUCUUAACCUGAAGAUUAUGCCACAUCCUAACAAAUAAAAAUGCAUGGCAGUAAUACAACUGAUAUUAUCUGUCAUUUUCUUAGUUUUGCAUUUUACAUUUAUGUUGCUUGGCAUGCCAGCAGAACUGUUGCAUUUGGAUUGCAAAUGAUUUUUGUAUCCUGUAAUUUUUUUAUGGUUUAAUUUUCAUGCCAAUUAUUUUCUGAUUUUGAAAAGUUGUUAGUUUCCCAUGGUGAUUUAUUUUCCUAUGUUCCUACCUGUGUUUAUUUGGUUGUUGUUUACUUGGCUACUUCUGGAACUGAAAUUAGUGUUGGCUUAUUGUCAUUUAUGCAAAAUUAUUUAAGUUUAUGGAGUUCCCUGUUGGUCCAGUGGGUUGAGGACCCAGUGUUGUCACUGCUAUGGCUCUGGUUACUGUGGUGGCAUGGGUUUGAUCCCUGGCCUAGGAACUUCUGCAUGCCAUAGACACGGCCAAAAAUCCCCCCCAAACCCACAUAUAUAUAUACUGCUAAUCCGGGAUGGCAAUAUGCUUGCUAUUGAAUUUCUAUUUUCCUCACUUUGUAGUUAAUAAGUAUUUACCAUUUCUACAUGCAAAUGCCCUUUUGGAUUGACUGAAAUGGAACUCUUCCCAGCUUAGUGGAAAUGUCUUAGUAUGCUGAGAUAUGCCUUGUAUUGUCCUCUGGCCUUAACUCCAUGUUGUAAAUUGGCAGAAGCCUAUCUUUUAUAUUAAAUGAAUCUAUAGGUGACAGUGAAGCCUUGUAGCAGCUAUAUGGAAGUGUAGUUUAUACUUCCGUUAGCUUUAGUCAAGUUUCAUUUCUUUAUCACAGAUGUUUUUCUUUAUAAGUAUUAAGUAUGCUUUUAAAAAAGAAGUGGUAUUCUUAAAUAGAAAAAUAAGCUUAAAUAACCUGUCAUUAACAUUUGUUGAAAUCUAACCCUCCAGGUGAGGAAAUAAAACAGUUUUUUUAAUCAAAGCCAAUAGAAGAUAAUUAAGGUCACUAAUUUUAAUAUAUAUAAAUUAUUUUUAAUGAACCUAACAGUUUGAGAUGCAUAGAGCUUUUUUUUUUCUUUUUUUUUUUUUUUGUCUUUUUGCCUUUUUCUAGGGCCGCUCCCCAUGGGAACUUCCAUAUGCUGCACAUGCAGCCCUAAGAAGCAACAAAUAAAUAAUUAAAUUAAAUGUCUGCUAAAAAUGAAAAUUGAACAUCUUAAUGAAAAAAUUUGUCUAGAUAAGAAUAAAUAUCUAAAAUGUAAUAUUGAUGACUUAAUCUGCCUGUAUUUUUCCUUAUGCAGAUAUUAAUAGAAUUUAAUAUCACUUACAGUAUAAUAAUAAAGUGAUAGAAUUUUAGGUCUCCUGGAAAGGAUGCUUAUAGAUCCUUCAAACUGGUGAUCGUAUUUUAAGCGCUACAGCACCUGGCUGGUUAGUGGCAAAGCAAGUUUUUUUUUUUUUUUUAAUUAAUUAAUUAAUUUAUUUUAUUUUAUUUAUUUUUUCAGCAUGAGGACCAAGUUACACUUACAUAUAUUCAUUUUUUUUCCUCCCUUUGUUCCGCUGCGAUACAAAGCGAGUUUUAGAAUGCACAUCUCUAAGCCCAGAAUGUAGUUCUCACUCAGUGCUACCUCUGAUUCUGGUGUAUAAUAUCCACUAACCAUUUUAUAUGAUACAAAGUCAAGCUGCAUUACUAAUAUCGAGGAGACUUGGCUCAUUUUUUUCAUGAAUAUUUAUAAAAGACAUUAUUGUGUAUUUAUUAUUGUGACGGUCACAACUCUGGAAAUGGUGUCAGGGAAGAAACAUGAUCUCAUGACAUUUGAGUGGGAAACCUCAAUAUUUACAUACACCUUCCCAGAGCCAAACAAAAUGUGUUCCUAUCAAAAAGCGGUUAGCUAAGAAAUAGUGUUUCCAAAAGAUUACACACAUAUCAGAGGAUUUGGAGUGUAAUAGUAAAGAAAUAAGAUUUAUUUUUUAUUAAGACCUAUGCUCUUGGAGUUCCCGUUGUGGCUCAGCGGAAACCGAUCUAACAUCCAUGAAGACGCAGGUUCGAUCCCUGGCCUUCCUCAGUGGGUUAAGGAUCUGGUGUUGCCGUGAGCUGUGGUGUAGGUCGCAGAUGCAGCUCAGAUCUGGCAUUGCUGUGGCUGUGGUGUAGGGCGGCAGCUAAAGCUCCAGUUUGACCCCUAUCCUGAGAAUACACAUAUGCUUCAAGUGCAGCCCU
rnacentral:lncRNA from 1 species